AUGAAUCACGAAGAUGGUGCAGAUGAUUGGGGUUCUCAAAGGCCAGAAAUGCCGCCACCUUUCGAUGCAUUAGAGUACAGUCAGCUCAUCUCUGCAGGGCCGUUGCUGCCGCUGCUAGAACAGUAUGCAGGCGUAGGUUCUUAUGACCAGAACACUCUUAGGGGGGCCCUGUGGCAAGUGCAGUCACAAGGCGCUAACGCUGACAAAUGUACGGGCAGCCAACUCCAACUAGCUAGUAUGGCUAAUCAAGAGCCUUCGUGCAGCACGUGGAAUCAGGCAGCACCCAUGUACCUGCCAUCGACGUCGUACACAGGUUAUUACGCUGGUGGUGAUCCGGCAAACGUCUCCUGGCAAGCUUCGCAAAUUCCUGGUGGAUCACGUCAUUAUGGCAAAACAAUGGUUGCCAUGUUUGUUGAACAAACCUACAACUAUAAUGCACGCGGCGCUGACACAUCUACUGCGGGGAGCUCUGAGCGCACGGAAGAUGCGUUCCACCAGACAGCAGACAAACAUGCCGCAAACAAUUUCGAGUCAGAGUCGGGAAUGGCAAUCAUUCCAGCAAUGCCGGCAAGUACCCCUUUGAACACAAGCACUGGCAACUCUCAGGUAGAUGGGACUGCCGCCCAUACUGAAGUGAACGAUGAAACUGACGACGACGCGCAAGGGGAUGAAGAUGGUGGGCAAUCAGAGAUCGUGGUGCCUCAGCCACCGUACAUGGGGCAGAGAUUUGAGUCAUUCGAAGCAGCAAAGAAAUACUACCAGACAUAUGCAAAGUUCCAUGGGUUUGCGGUCAACACCGAGUACCGUAGGAAAAUUAAGAAAACUAACGAGUACAGCAGAGAUGGAGCACAGUGGGUGGUCAAUGAGUAUUUUGACGAGCACAACCACCAACUGACAAAGAAGUUCGACCUGGUGAAAUUUCUGACCGCCCACAGAGGGUUCACCUCCGUCAAAAGGCAAUUCGUAAAGCUGCUACAUGAUUGUAACGUCGGUCCAUCGAGAAUGGUGCAGAUACUAUCUCUCAUCCACAGCAAAAAGGGGACUCUGAGUAGCAUGCCGUACAUACCAGCUGACGUCACAAACCUACGGGCAAGGUACCGUAGAGAGAGCAAGUUGGCAGACAUAGAGGUCACAAUUGCCUACUUUGAUGAGAAAGCCAAAGAAGAUGCAGAUUUCUUUUACAGGAUAAGGAGAGCCUACAAACAUUUCCGAGAUUGCAUUUCAUUCGACGCGACGUACCUCACCAACAUGUACAAGAUGCCGUGCGCUCCGUUCAUAGGGAUAAAUAACCACAAUCAGUCGUUGCAGUUCGGCUGCGGGCUCGUCCGGAACGAAGACAUGGUUGGGUACGUUUGGCUGUUCAAGACCUUCUUGGAGUGCAUGGAUAGACUUGCUCCGAUGAACAUAAUAACGGACCAGGAUUUCAGCAUGCGUGCAGGCAUAGAGGAGGUCUUUCCGUUGGCAGAGCGCAUGCACUGUAGGUGUCACAUUAUAAAGAAGGCUGAGGAGACGUUAGGACCGUUCUUUGCUGACCGUCCAGAGCUGCACAAGGCAUUCGAACUGUGCGUGGACCACAGCUUGACGGUGGAGGAGUUUGAAAGGAGCUGGAUGGCCAUGACUGAAACACAUCAAGUCCAAGACAACGAGACUCUUCUAAGCCUGUGGGAGAAGCGAAUGUACCGGGUGCCGGCCUACUUCAUGCAUUUGCCAAGCAGUACACAACUUUGCAAAACAAAAAUUCUGGAAUCUGAGCUGCAGCAAGAAGCGAACAUCGCGCUAAAGCAGUCAAAAUUGCUAACGUACUUAUCGAUGGAGAGGCAAAUGAGCAAGAUAUACACCAACAAGAUCUUUAACAAAUUCCAGGAAGAAAUAAAGCGUGCCAGUAUGUUCACGGCUUUCCAGGUGGACGAACGUACGUUCAAGGUGUGUUCUAUUUUGGGCAUGUCAGAUUCAGAACCUGAAGACCCGGACAAAGGAAGGAACUACUUCGUCACAGCCUCGAUAGGCGAAGGCGAGUUCUACUGCCAAUGCUGCAAGUUCGAACGGGGCGGCAUUGUGUGCUGUCACAUACUAAAAGUAAUGGACGUGAACGCUAUGACACGGAUGCCCCGACAUUUCAUAAGGCGGCGAUGGACUUGGGACGCUGACGAUGCGUUGGCGCCGCAAACAACACACGCAGUUCUGGCUGUGCAUGAUGAGAGACCAGAGUCAACCAUGGAAGCCGUGAGGCACGUUGUGCUGACCAAGAACCAUACUGAGCUAAUUGAUGAAGCGUGCAAGAGUGAUGAUAUAGCGAGAGCCGCAGAAAAACACAGGAAAGCACUAAAAAGAGAGCUUGAUGAGAUCAAGAAGAGGAAAUCCGAGGAAGCCUUACACCGGUUCCCCCGCACAUCAAGCGUGCCUUCAUCCACGGGACCGUCGUCUGAAAACUCAAAGAUAGGAUCUGGAACAGCAAGCACACAGAUCCAGGUCAGGAACCCACCCCGUUCCAUCACAAAGGGUCAUCCAAGAGAGAUAAGGUAUAAGUCGGGAUUGGAGAUCCAAGCAAAACACAAGAAAACGAAGAAAGGGGCGGCCAAUCCAUGA
rnacentral:rRNA from 1 species